GUCAUAUGAAGGUGAAUCCGUGUCAUGAGCGGACCUGACGACGAUAAAUCCGAAAAAAAAUGUAUCUCUAGCAUACCUGAUGAAGGUUCGUCCAAAUAAUUGCGUCUUGCGCGUUACUGAUGAAAGGUGUUACAAAAAACGUACUUCGAGCGUACUUGAUGAAGGUAGGAAUUAAGGAGUAAGUAAAAAUUGAAAAUAAAAACAAGUGUUGAUUAUAUAGUUCUUUUUUAAAGGGACACUAGCUGUCAAAUUCAUGGUCACCGAUUUGACUCAAAUUUUUAUAUUUUAUUUAUAACAAUGUAAAACAUUUAUCCAAACUAUCAAAAGUGUGAAAUAAACAAUUGACAGAGCAUAGGGUCAAUAAUAUGUAGUUUCGUUUUGUGUGUAUUUUAGUCAAGACUCCAUCUAAUUAAAUAUCCCGUGUGUGAUUAACUCAUGCAUAUUCAAGACGACCAAACAAACCAUAUUGACUCCUCAAGUUUUAAAAGAGAAUACUUAUCCGUUAAUCUAUAGAUGAUGAAUAUUGAGACAAAAAUAUGUAAAAACAUUUACAAAAUAUGCUUCGUGAAGAAAAACAAUUAAUUC
rnacentral:lncRNA from 1 species